rnacentral:lncRNA from 1 species
UUUUCUCCGUAAAACCAACUUUGACUGAAGUCCACAGGACUUACCAAUUUGGGCUCCGUCCAGGAGCUGAAAACUGAUUACAAAUAUGAAACGGAUUUCACUACAGGACUUGAACUCUACAUUAAAAAACAAUGAGCUUCCCAAAAUAAUUGAAAAAGAUCUUCACCCAAGAGUAGCUGCAAUGUGAAUGGCAGGAUAUGAAGCAAGUAAAAGAUGGUGAAAAGAUUAUCUUAAGCUGGGAAUUAAGUGAUGAAAGGGACCUUGGAAAUUAUCAACUCUAAAUGCUUCUUUAGAGGAAAAUUGAAAGCAGUUAAGAACCUGCCCCCUGCUGUGCUGAGUUGGAGUUCUUGGUGCCUGGGUGCAUCCCCAAGGCCACUGGUCUUCAGAUCUUUCUUACUUGAGAAGAACGCCUCCACCUCCGGGCUCUCCCACCAGUGGUACUGCCACCACCACACACCAGCAUAA